GUAAGCAGGAUAGCUAAUUCCGGGAAUCGUGCUGUAAAAAGCAAGUUCUGAAAAAUGAGAACUGAUUUCUGAGGAAGGUCCGCACAUCUGCAAUGAUUGAGUUCAUUGUAUUCCAAAUGGAAAAUUAUCCUUGUGAAAGGAUUGUUGUGAGACAAGGCACUAUUACAGAAACGACACAGCCAUCAUUCAUUGUGAUGUUGGCCUUGCUGGAUAUUAUUUGGCAACAAAUAACAAUUAGUGGGGGAAGCAACUGAAGUUUUUGAUGGAAAUGAUGAAACGAAUAACCUGAUUGAUGAAACCAGAGCAUCUGGGCUUAGUCUGAUGUUAGCACAAACUGUUCGCAAAACGAAGUUUGACAGAACGCGGCCUAUUUCCUGCUUAC
rnacentral:RNase_P_RNA from 1 species